rnacentral:rRNA from 1 species
UACGAAGGGGGCUAGCGUUGCUCGGAAUCACUGGGCGUAAAGCGCACGUAGGCGGAUUGUUAAGUCAGGGGCGAAAUCCUGGAGCUCAACUCCAGAACUGCCUUCGAUACUGGCGAUCUUGAGUCCGGAAGAGGUGAGUGGAACUCCUAGUGUAGAGGUGGAAUUCGUAGAUAUUAGGAAGAACACCGGUGGCGAAGGCGGCUCACUGGUCCGGUACUGACGCUGAGGUGCGAAAGCGUGGGGAGCAAACAGG